rnacentral:lncRNA from 1 species
UUCAUUCUCAUUCUGUUGCCUUAGGCCUUUAGCAGCAAAUAAGAAAAAAUACCUCCAUCUGCUAUAUAGAAACAUUUGUACAUAGGUACAGUUUUAUGGUUUGUUAACAAAAAUGCGUUGCAUUUUGUGCUGUUUAGCUGUGGUUUGACAUUGUUUUUCCAACCUAGCUGACAUUGUCAAGAAGAACCUUGCUUCUCCUUCAGGUACUAAGUACAGUACAUACUAAAUCUUGAUGCUACAAAUCCAGGAUUCAAUUACUAGACAGCAUUUUGUUUUCACCCAGCUUCCUCCACUCCUUCCCUACUUCAGAUUCCAUAAAGUAGCUUCAGUGGUAACACUCUACGCGGAGACAGUAUUGUUAGGGAAUCCUACGUGGCUGUGAAUUUUGCAGUAAGCAAUCAGAGCUUUGUUCUUUCUAAUUAAUAAAUAUACAGCUUGUAUCUUACUCUUCCAAUAUAAAUAUAUAUA